rnacentral:misc_RNA from 1 species
AGCAGCCGCGGUAAUUCCAGCUCCAAUCGCGUAUAUUAAAGUUGUUGCAGUUAAAAAGCUCGUAGUUGAAUUUCGGGACCAAUUUGUUGGUCGUGCCUCGGUACGUACUGGUAUUAUUGGUUUCUCCCUUCUGAAGAACCUCGAUGCCAUUAAUUUGGUGUCGUGGGGAAUCAGGACUGUUACUUUGAAAAAUUAGAGUGUUUAAAGCAAGCAUACGCUUGAAUACAUUAGCAUGGAAUAAUGAAAUAGGACGUUUGAUUCUAUUUUGUUGGUUUCUAGGAUCGACGUAAUGAUUAAUAGGGAUAGUUGGGGGCAUUAGUAUUCAAUUGUCAGAGGUGAAAUUCUUGGAUUUAUUGAAGACUAACUACUGCGAAAGCAUUUGCCAAGGAUGUUUUCAUAUUCAAGAACGAAAGUUAGGGGAUCGAAGACGAUCAGAUACCGUCGUAGUCUUAACCAUAAACUAUGCCGACUAGGGAUCGGAUGAUGUUAAUUUUUUAAUGACUCAUUCGGCGCCUUACGG